ensembl:lncRNA
AUGCAUGACAUUAAACUAUUAAAAAAUGUAAAUGAUCUUUCAUAUGAAUGUCUUCUAUGUGCUUUCAUUGUCAGAGCCCUGUGUAAAGUCGUUGGCGACCAACCAGAAAUGUGGGAUGAGUAUCUGGAUGCUGUAAUGUUUGGACUCAGAACUAAAAAACAAGUGACCACCAAAUACUCACCUUAUUACCUAAUGUUUGGCAGAGAGGCUCGCUAUCCUUCCGAAAUCCCAGAAGAGUUCAUGGUUGAUGAGAGUGUGGAAGACAUUGUGGGGCAGGAGGAGCUGUCGGAAGACAUUCAAAAGCAUCAAAAGCUGUUGGAACUGGUGAAGGACAAUGUGGUCAAAGCUCAGGAAAAAACAAAGGGCAAAAUAAAAAUGAUGACGAGAGAUGUCGUCUUCAAAGUUGGUGACAAAGUUUUAAGAGCUAACAUAAGAAGUCAGCAGAGGAAAGGGGGAAAACUUGAAGCAAACUUUUUAGGCCCUUACAUUAUUACAGCAAUCCAAGGUAAAAGUGCAGAUCUUCAGGAUUCCAAUGGGACAAUCAUUCCAAAAGUAAAUAUUGACCAACUAAAGUUAAGCAAAGACAGCAUGCCAAGAGUGCCACACCGGGGUUCAAAGAAAACAGCAGCCACAUUACCAACAGCACAACCAGGUCCAGCAGCACCACAAGCUGCAGCAGCACCAGCAUCUGCUCUAGCUUCACAGGCUACAGCAGCACCAGUGGCGGUAGCACCACCACCACCUCCUCCUAGAGCUACACAGCCUACAGCACCAAUGGCAUCACUUACAUCACUAUCGGUUCAAACACAACAUCCAUCUCCAGUUCCACAAGGUAUAGCAAUAACGGUAUCAGAUCCAGAGUCAGGAGCAACAGCACAGAAAGAGAACGAACCAGCCACAAGUGCUACAGCACCAGAAUAUGCUACAGCUGUACAAACCGAAUCCCAAACAGCAGCAGACCCAGCCUCAAAGACCAUAACAGCAGACCAGGCCUCACAAACCACAACAGCAGACCCAGCCUCACAAACCACAACAGCAGACCAGGCCUCACAAACCACAACGGCAGCAGACCCAUCCUCACAGACCACAGCUCCAAAUGCUACAACCACACAAGCCUCAGCUCCACAGAUUACAGCCCAGCAAUCUACAGCACAAACCAUGGAAGCAACAGUUCCACUUGUGACACCAGCCCCAGCAACAGCCACACAAGCUAGCCCUGCACCACCUCCAGCAUCACCCUCUCAGAGAUACACUGAACCUGUUGCAGAGAAAUAUAUAAUGGAUGCCUGGGCUGGAAAGAGUCCUCACGUUCUACUCUCCAAAAUUGGUGCUUACAAAUUAUUCUACUGGGAUAUCCAACAAAUUGGUCCGGACAUGGAGUUGGAAAGUGAGUCUAUUAAUGCAUAUCUUGCGAUCAUGGUGAGACAAUGCAAUCGCCAUAAUUCAGCCAAAGCAGCAUUCAUUGAUUCAUUUUCAAUGACUGCCAUUUGGAAGAGAAAAGCUCCAAGACUCAAGAUCAAACCCAUGGAGCAUGAAGUGAUUCUGGGAAUUGUAAAUGAACAUCAUCACUGGACAUUAGUGGUAAACAAAAUAAUUGCAUUUACAAUAUUCAUCAAAUCAGUUUUAUAAGAAAAAUGCAUGGCAUGCAGAUAAUCUUAAGUCUUGAAUUAUUACAUGUAAUUCUCCACAUAAUUUUACUGUAGGUCAUUUACCCACAAGAAAAGAAGUCGCUGUAUCUUGAUCCACUCGGAGAAACUAAACAAGGUAUCCAAAAUUGUUUGGAAUCAACAAGGUAAGGAUAACUGCUCAAAUUUAUUUCGACCCUUUAUUAAACUCUUUGUUGCUUUUGUUAUUUUUGUGUUUAUUAUGACAAUUACAAGUAUGAUGUCAAUCAAAAAAUAAAUGGUACUCAGAAUUAAAAAACUAGCAGCAACAGGUUUAAAUUUUUGUGUUCGUCUUCUGAUAUUGUGGUGUUAUGGGUUAAUUUUGCCUUUAAAGAGAAGUCUCCCCAUGUUUCAAUGUUUAUUUGAGGACCUGAUGUCUGUAUGAGAUGAUGUUUUUACAUUAGAAAAUAUAGCACGGGAUAUUAAUGUUUAGUAGUUGCAUAAAGUGUUGCGGAGGUUUAGCACUAAAACAUCAGACAAAUGUCUAAAAUAAUUCCACAUAGGUUAUACAUGUGUGAAUUUCAUCUUUGCUUCUCCUCCACAUCUCUUCAAAGUGUACUGUGUAAGUGAUUGAUUUCUAUAUCAUGGGAGGAAACAGGAAAAUAAAAGCACAAGUAAUUGUCCACGAAAAUGCGUUGUAGACUUUUAAAAAGUAAUGAUUUUAACAAAACAGUGUGGUCAGUGUUCUUAACUUGAUGUUCAACAGACACUUAAGCUCUCCAUACUGUUCAUCUUUUUGUGUCACCAAAAUUUUAAAACAUGUUAUUUGUUUUUAUUGUACUUGUCUUUCAGGGCAUUCAUGCGAAAAAAAGGAUGCAACGUCUCAAGAUGGACUUGUGACACAGUCAAACACCCAAAACAAUUGGACGCUACCUCAUGUGGAGUCUUUGCAUUGAAAGUACGAGUCUUAACCGUAAUACAUACAUAUAUACAACAAUAUUGGAAAUGUUGUGUUGUAAUAAAUGUUAAUGACAGGAAAAGGAAUAUAAGAUAAUUACACAAAAAAGAAAGAAAUUGAUUCACAGCAAACAAAUUUCUAUAAAAUAACAUUUACGAUAUUAGCCUAUUUAGUCAUCUUAGAAUCUCUUUUUCAGUUUGCUGAAAAGAUCUUGCAAAAAGAGUCAAUAGACUUUCCGUCUACAAAAAAGGCCAUAAACACACACAGGCUGCAAAUUGCCACCACUCUCCUCCUA